rnacentral:rRNA from 1 species
UACGGAGGGAGCUAGCGUUGUUCGGAAUUACUGGGCGUAAAGCGCACGUAGGCGGCUAUUCAAGUCAGAGGUGAAAGCCCGGGGCUCAACCCCGGAAUUGCCUUUAAGACUGCAUCGCUUGAAUCCGGGAGAGGUGAGUGGAAUUCCGAGUGUAGAGGUGAAAUUCGUAGAUAUUCGGAAGAACACCAGUGGCGAAGGCGGCUCACUGGACCGGUAUUGACGCUGAGGUGCGAAAGCGUGGGGAGCAAACAGG